rnacentral:rRNA from 1 species
GACGAACGCUGGCGGCGUGCUUAACACAUGCAAGUCGAACGGAAAGGCCCUGCUUUUGUGGGGUGCUCGAGUGGCGAACGGGUGAGUAACACGUGAGUAACCUGCCCUUGACUUUGGGAUAACUUCAGGAAACUGGGGCUAAUACCGGAUAGGAGCUCCUGCUGCAUGGUGGGGGUUGGAAAGUUUCGGCGGUUGGGGAUGGACUCGCGGCUUAUCAGCUUGUUGGUGGGGUAGUGGCUUACCAAGGCUUUGACGGGUAGCCGGCCUGAGAGGGUGACCGGCCACAUGGGGACUGAGAUACGGCCCAGACUCCGACGGGAGGCAACAGUGGGGAAUAUUGCACAAUGGGCGGAAGCCUGAUGCAGCAACGCCGCGUGCGGGAUGACGGCCUUCGGGUUGUAAACCGCUUUCGCCUGUGACGAAGCGUGAGUGACGGUAAUGGGUGAAGAAGCACCGGCGAACUACGU